GAUGAACGCUGGCGGCGUGCCUAAUACAUGCAAGUCGAGCGAAGCGGGGGCAGGUGAGUAACACGUGGCUACCCUCCGAGAAGACUGGGAUACCGUCGGGAAACCGUAGCUAAACGGGCUACUUAGAUGUGGAUGCACGCUGCAUUAGCUAGUUGGUAAGGUAACGGCUUACCAAGGCAACGAUGCAUAGCCGAUCUGAGAGGGUGAUCGGCCACACUGGAACUGAGACACGGUCCAGACUCCUACGGGAGGCAGCAGUAGGGAAUCUUCCGCAAUGGGCGAAAGCCUGACCGAGCAACGCCGCGUGAGUGAAGAAGGUCUUCGGAUCGUAAAACUCUGUUAUUAGGGAAGCGGUACCUAAUCAGAAAGCCACGGCUAACUACGUGCCAGCAGCCGCGGUAAUUC
rnacentral:rRNA from 1 species